rnacentral:rRNA from 1 species
UACGGGGGGAGCAAGCGUUGUUCGGAUUUACUGGGCGUAAAGGGCGCGUAGGCGGCCAGUGCAAGUCAGUUGUGAAAUCUCCGAGCUUAACUCGGAAAGGUCAACUGAUACUGCUCGGCUAGAGUGCGGAAGGGGCAACUGGAAUUCUUGGUGUAGCGGUGAAAUGCGUAGAUAUCGCUUGGAACGCCGAAGGUGAAAACAGGUUGCUGGGGUUGUGCCGACGCUGAGACACGAAAGCCAGGGGAGCAAACGGG